rnacentral:pre_miRNA from 8 species
CGUCUUACCCAGCAGUGUUUGGGUGCUGGUUGGGAGUCUCUAAUACUGCCGGGUAAUGAUGGA